GUUGUAUGGUUAAGUGACUAAGCGUACACGGUGGAUGCCUUGGCAGUCAGAGGCGAUGAAAGACGUAAUAACUUGCGAUAAGCCCAGAUU
rnacentral:rRNA from 1 species